rnacentral:hammerhead_ribozyme from 1 species
GCACUGAUGACGAGUCCCAUACUAGGACGAAACGGCCGUCCAGUGC